rnacentral:rRNA from 1 species
UACAGAGGUCUCGAGCGUUGUUCGGAUUUAUUGGGCGUAAAGGGCGCGUAGGCGGCGGGGUAAGUCUGGUGUGAAAUCUCGGAGCUCAACUCCGAAAUUGCACUGGAUACUGCUCUGCUAGAGGGCUGGAGAGGAGAUCGGAAUUCACGGUGUAGCAGUGAAAUGCGUAGAUAUCGUGAGGAAGACCAGUGGCGAAGGCGGAUCUCUGGACAGCUCCUGACGCUGAGGCGCGAAGGCUAGGGGAGCAAACGGG